GACGAACGCUGGCGGCGUGCUUAACACAUGCAAGUCGAACGGAAAGGCCCUGCUUUUGUGGGGUGCUCGAGUGGCGAACGGGUGAGUAACACGUGAGUAACCUGCCCUUGACUUUGGGAUAACUUCAGGAAACUGGGGCUAAUACCGGAUAGGAGCUCCUGCUGCAUGGUGGGGGUUGGAAAGUUUCGGCGGUUGGGGAUGGACUCGCGGCUUAUCAGCUUGUUGGUGGGGUAGUGGCUUACCAAGGCUUUGACGGGUAGCCGGCCUGGGAGGGUGACCGGCGACAUGGGGGAGAAGGUGAGGCCGAAACGCGGAAGGGGGGCGGCAGUGGGGAGUAGUGCAGAAGGGGGGGACGCCGGACGCAGCAGCGGGGGGGGGGGGAUGGCGGCCCGCGGGUUGAAUACCGCUUUCGGGGGGGACGGGGGGGGAGGGGGGGGAAGGGGCAAAGAAGAACGGGCUAGCGACGUGCGAGGAGGCGGGGAAAUGACGGAAGACCACGCGUCGGAA
rnacentral:rRNA from 1 species